rnacentral:rRNA from 1 species
GAUUAACGCGAAGAACCUUACCUGGCCUUGACAUGCACUGGACCGGCUGUGAAAGCAGCUUUCCCCGCAAGGGGCCCGUGCACAGGUGCUGCAUGGCUGUCGUCAGCUCGUGCCGUGAGGUGUUGGGUUAAGUCCCGCAACGAGCGCAACCCUUGUCCUUAGUUGAAUUCUCUAGGGAGACCGCCGGUCUAAACCGGAGGAAGGUGGGGAUGACGUCAAGUCAGCACGGCUCUUACGUCGAGGGCUACACACACGCUACAAUGGCCGGUACAACGGGCUGCGAAGGGGCGACCUGGAGCUAAUCCCACCAAAGCCGGUCUCAGUUCGGAUUGCAGGCUGCAACUCGCCUGCAUGAAGUCGGAGUUGCUAGUAACUGCUGGUCAGCACACAGCAGUGAAUACGUUCCCGGGCCUUGUACACACCGAAUCACUAGU